AGUUCUUUUAUUAGGGAAGAAAAGAUGGUGGAAAAACCAUUAUGACGGUACCUAAUGAAUAAGCCCCGGCUAACUAUGUGCCAGCAGCCGCGGUAAUACAUAGGGGGCAAGCGUUAUCCGGAAUUAUUGGGCGUAAAGGGUGCGUAGGCGGUUAAAUAAGUUUAUGGUCUAAGUGCAACGCUCAACGUUGUGAUGCUAUAAAAACUGUUUAGCUAGAGUUGGAUAGAGGCAAGUGGAAUUCCGUGUGUAGUGGUAAAAUGCGUAAAUAUACGGAGGAACACCAGAAGCGAAGGCGGCUUGCUGGGUCUUAACUGACGCUGAGGCACGAAAGCGUGGGGAGCAAACAGGAUUAGAUACCCUGGUAGUCCACGCCCUAAACGAUGAGUACUAAACGUUGGAUAAAACCAGUGUUGAAGUUAACACAUUAAGUACUCCGCCUGAGUAGUACGUACGCAAGUAUGAAACUUAAAGGAAUUGACGGGACUCCGCACAAGCGGUGGAUCAUGUUGUUUAAUUCGAAGGUACCCGAAAAACCUCACCAGGUCUUGACAUGCUUUUGCAAAGCUGUAGAAAUACAGUGGAGGUUAUCAGAAGCACAGGUGGUGCAUGGUUGUCGUCAGCUCGUGUCGUGAGAUGUUGGGUUAAGUCCCGCAACGAGCGCAACCCUUGUUGUUAAUUGCCAUCAUUAAGUUGGGGACUUUAGCAAGACUGCCAAUGAUAAAUUGGAGGAAGGUGGGGACGACGUCAAAUCAUCAUGCCCC
rnacentral:rRNA from 1 species